UUCCGGUUGAUCCUGCCGGACCCGACUGCUAUCAGAGUGGGACUAAGCCAUGCGAGUCGACGUAGCAAUGCGUGGCGAACGGCUCAGUAACACGUAGUCAACAUGCCCAGGGGACGUGGAUAACCUCGGGAAACUGAGAAUAAACCACGAUAGGUCACGAUUUCUGGAAUGGAUCAUGGCCUAAAUCUACAUGGCCCCUGGAUUGGACUGCGGCCGAUCAGGCAGUUGGUGAGGUAAUGGCCCACCAAACCUAUAACCGGUACGGGCUCUGAGAGGAGAAGCCCGGAGAUGGGCACUGAGACAAGGGCCCAGGCCCUAUGGGGCGCAGCAGGCGCGAAACCUCUGCAAUAGGCGAAAGCCUGACAGGGCUACUCUGAGUGAUUUCCGCUAAGGGGAUCUUUUGGCACCUCUAAAAAUGGUGCAGAAUAAGGGGUGGGCAAGUCUGGUGUCAGCCGCCGCGGUAAUACCAGCACCCCGAGUGGUCGGGACGAUUAUUGGGCCUAAAGCAUCCGUAGCCGGUUCUGCAAGUCUUCCGUUAAAUCCAGCCGCUCAACGGAUGGGCCGCGGAGGAUACUACAGGACUAGGAGGCGGGAGAGGCAAGCGGUACUCAGUGGGUAGGGGUAAAAUCCUUUGAUCCAUUGAAGACCACCAGUGGCGAAAGCGGCUUGCCAGAACGCGCUCGACGGUGAGGGAUGAAAGCUGGGGGAGCAAACCGGAUUAGAUACCCGGGUAGUCCCAGCUGUAAACGAUGCAGACUCGGUGAUGGGCUAGCCUUGUGCCAGCCCAGUGCCGCAGGAAGCCGUUAAGUCUGCCGCCUG
rnacentral:rRNA from 1 species